CUUUGAACAUGUUUAACUGAAAGAUCCCCAAAGGGAGACCCUCACUCAAGUCUCGGGAAGUCUCGGACCCCAGACACACGAGAGACC
rnacentral:pre_miRNA from 14 species